UGGACAAACGAGGGCCAAACUGUCUCCUGAAUAUACCUAAAAAUUGGCCUUUAGGUGAAAAGACCUAAAUUAAAUCAAAGGACAAGAAGACCCCGUAGAGCUUUGUUCUUUUAUAGUAUAGGGAAAAAUAUUAUAUCUUUUCCCUGUAUCUAAACAAAGAGCUCAGCUGGGGCGGCUGAGGAAAAAUCAAUCUUCCAUCUUUACCAGACCUUUAAAUAGCGCAUAAAGGCUAUAUGCCACAAUUUAAAUUGACCCCAUAUUGGAUCAGAAAAAAUAGCUACCUCGGGGAUAACAGAUUAAUCCUUCUUGAGAGUUCGCAUUGACAGAAGGGC
rnacentral:rRNA from 1 species